AGAGGUAGCUUGCUACUGAUCUUAGCGGCGGACGGGUGAGUAAUGCUUAGGAAUCUGCCUAUUAGUGGGGGACAACAUUUCGAAAGGAAUGCUAAUACCGCAUACGUCCUACGGGAGAAAGCAGGGGAUCUUCGGACCUUGCGCUAAUAGAUGAGCCUAAGUCGGAUUAGCUAGUUGGUGGGGUAAAGGCCUACCAAGGCGACGAUCUGUAGCGGGUCUGAGAGGAUGAUCCGCCACACUGGGACUGAGACACGGCCCAGACUCCUACGGGAGGCAGCAGUGGGGAAUAUUGGACAAUGGGCGCAAGCCUGAUCCAGCCAUGCCGCGUGUGUGAAGAAGGCCUUAUGGUUGUAAAGCACUUUAAGCGAGGAGGAGGCUACUUUAGUUAAUACCUAGAGAUAGUGGACGUUACUCGCAGAAUAAGCACCGGCUAACUCUGUGCCAGCAGCCGCGGUAAUACAGAGGGUGCAAGCGUUAAUCGGAUUUACUGGGCGUAAAGCGCGCGUAGGCGGCUAAUUAAGUCAAAUGUGAAAUCCCCGAGCUUAACUUGGGAAUUGCAUUCGAUACUGGUUAGCUAGAGUGUGGGAGAGGAUGGUAGAAUUCCAGGUGUAGCGGUGAAAUGCGUAGAGAUCUGGAGGAAUACCGAUGGCGAAGGCAGCCAUCUGGCCUAACACUGACGCUGAGGUGCGAAAGCAUGGGGAGCAAACAGGAUUAGAUACCCUGGUAGUCCAUGCCGUAAACGAUGUCUACUAGCCGU
rnacentral:rRNA from 1 species